rnacentral:rRNA from 1 species
UACAGAGGUGGCAAGCGUUGUUCGGAAUUACUGGGCGUAAAGGGCGCGUAGGCGGCUUGGUCAGUCCCGUGUGAAAUCCCUCGGCUCAACUGAGGAACUGCACGGGAAACUGCCUGGCUUGAGUUCGGGAGAGGGAAGCGGAAUUCCGGGUGUAGCGGUGAAAUGCGUAGAUAUCGGGAGGAACACCCGUGGCGAAGGCGGCCCCCUGGUUGGAUACUGACGCUGAGACGCGAAAGCGUGGGGAGCAAACAGG